UACGGGGGGAGCAAGCGUUGUUCGGAUUUACUGGGCGUAAAGGGCGCGUAGGCGGCCUCCGCAAGUCAAUUGUGAAAUCUCCGGGCUUAACUCGGAAAGGUCAACUGAUACUGCGGGGCUAGAGUGCGGAAGGGGCAACUGGAAUUCUUGGUGUAGCGGUGAAAUGCGUAGAUAUCAAGAGGAACACCUGCGGCGAAGGCGGGUUGCUGGGCCGACACUGACGCUGAUGCGCGAAAGCCAGGGGAGCGAACGGG
rnacentral:rRNA from 1 species